AUGGCGAGAGAGCUUUGUGCUAGCCAAUUGGAUGUGCAAGAGAGGGAGAGAAAACGCAUCGGAUGGGGACAAGAGAGACAAAAGCAGUCCAAUCCCACACCAGGUCAUACCAUCAUGACUAUGUUCGAUUUGGAUCCGCUUAUGACAGGUGCUAUUUCAUUGCUCAUUGGGUAUGAAAAUGUUGAGCAAGAGGAUGAUAGUGAUGCCAGCAGCGACGAUGAAGCAAUUCAAAACCCAAAUAUUAUACUUAGUAAAGAGGAUGUUUACAAGAGAGCUCAGGACAAUGGCUAUGAGGAGGAUGAAGGCGCAGCUUCUACUUAUUUAUUGUCGCAAAAGGGUCACAAGAAGAAACACAUUAUGCAGCAGAGGAUUAAUGGUUUAGGACCAUAUGAAACUGACGUAUCUUAUGCGUCAGUCAUUGCCAAGGUCCGCGUCUACGUGGACGACCACUACUUCUGUGACACCCACGAGAGGGACAUGGUCUACAUUGAAUACUACUCCAAUAGCGAGUCAAUGAUGGCGCCGACGAGCAGCUGCUCUAGUAGGCGAUGA
rnacentral:rRNA from 1 species